CCUACGGGUGGCAGCAGUGGGGAAUAUUGGGCAAUGGGCGCAAGCCUGACCCAGCAACGCCGCGUGAAGGAAGAAGGCUUUCGGGUUGUAAACUUCUUUUGUCAGGGAAGAGUAGAAGACGGUACCUGACGAAUAAGCCACGGCUAACUACGUGCAGGCAGCCGCGGUAAUACGUAGGUGGCAAGCGUUGUCCGGGUUUACUGGGUGUAAAGGGCGUGUAGCCGGGUUGACAAGUCAGAUGUGAAAUCCUGCGGCUUAACCGCAGAACUGCAUUUGAACCUGUGGCUCUUGAGUACUGGAGAGGCAGACGGAAUUCCUAGUGUAGCGGUGGAAGGCGUAGAUAUUAGGAGGAACACCAGUGGCGAAGGCGGUCUGCUGGACAGCAACUGACGGUGAGGCGCGAAAGCGUGGGGAGCAAACAGGAUGAGAUACCCGAGUAGUC
rnacentral:rRNA from 1 species